ACAUUACUUCUAGCAAAUAUCUCAGUUCUUUUUCUGUGGAAGCAGCAAAGAAGCAGUACGCCCAGCACAUCACUUCUCGUUGGUGGGUUCUGAACUACGAAGAUGAGACUGCUUCUCUUAUUCUCCGUCAUCUGCUUGAUGGCCACUGUCAGCUUCAGUCAGCCUCCUGGUCCUCCAGGUCAAAAAGGUGAAAAAGGAGAUCCCGGAUAUCCUGGGUUUCCUGGGAUGAUAGGACCACCUGGACGAGAUGGUAUUCCUGGAUUACCGGGGACUAAAGGGGAGCGAGGAUUUCCUGGGAUACCUGGAUAUCCUGGCGUUCGUGGAACAUGCUGUAAAGUUUACACUUAAACACCUUUUUUUGCAAUGAUUGCUUUAGAUCAUGUACACCUCAGUUAUCUGGCAUGUUUUCUAAAGAUAAAGGCUAUGUGUCCCCUGAUGUGCCUUGAAAUCUAUGCAUAUGGUGACACAAUUAGGCAGGCGUAGGAUUAGAAAUAAGUCUACUGUAUUUAUAGUCUGUAAAGUCUAAAGGGAAGCUUGACUGUAGACUGUCGUUCUCUCUGUAACAUUUGUAGUCACACAAAUUUCUCACAAGGCCUCAGUUGUUUUGGUUGGUUACAUUUACUCAAAGCUGGAGUAUAUAAAACAAUUUAUGCCUGCACGCAUUUUGUAUUUUCUCAUGUUAUCUUCUGAUUUGUUGAUCAUAAGUGCCCACAACAUAAUUCACAUGGGGUAAUUUGAUCACUGUCUAAAUUUACAUGCUGGUUAGCAGCAUGUCAACGAUGAUGG